rnacentral:rRNA from 1 species
UGCGCAGGCGGUUGUGUAAGACAGGUGUGAAAUCCCCGGGCUUAACCUGGGAAUUGCAUUUGUGACUGCACGACUAGAGUGUGUCAGAGGGGGGUGGAAUUCCACGUGUAGCAGUGAAAUGCGUAGAUAUGUGGAGGAACACCAAUGGCGAAGGCAGCCCCCUGGGAUAACACUGACGCUCAUGCACGAAAGCGUGGGGAGCAAACA